rnacentral:rRNA from 1 species
GAUGAACGCUGGCGGCGUGCCUAACACAUGCAAGUCGAGCGGAGAAUUGUUGCUUGCAACAAUUCUUAGCGGCGGACGGGUGAGUAACACGUGGGUAACCUGCCCUAAACAAAGGGAUAACAAUGAGAAAUCAUUGCUAAUACCGUAUAAGCUUACACUAUCGCAUGAUAGAGUAAGAAAAGAUUUAUCGGUUUAGGAGGGGCCCGCGUCUGAUUAGCUAGUUGGAGAGGUAACGGCUCACCAAGGCGACGAUCAGUAGCCGACCUGAGAGGGUGAUCGGCCACAUUGGGACUGAGACACGGCCCAAACUACUACGGGAGGCAGCAGUGGGGAAUAUUGCACAAUGGAGGAAACUCUGAUGCAGCAACGCCGCGUGAAGGAAGAAGGUUUUCGGAUCGUAAACUUCUAUCUACAGGGAAGAAAAAAAUGACGGUACCUGAGUAAGAAGCCCCGGCUAACUACGUG